GGCAAACACCUGCACUCUUAGUGGAGAAAUGAAUCUCAGUGUUUUAGAUAUUUCUAAUUUUGCAUUUGCUAAGGAGUUUUCAGUUCCUUUGUUCUGUAAUUAUUGUGGGUUAACAAAUAUCAAAAGCAUCAUACAUGACCAAACCCCAAACCCACCACUUUGCUACAGGCUCAUUCACUUGAGAUUGCCCAAUGGCUCUACCUAGUGGUGGUUUUCCACAGUGAAGCCUUGGUUAAAAUACUUAUGAGGAAAAUAAUUCUAAAUAUAAAAUGUUUUAAAAGGCACAGUUAUGACAGAAAAAUUGUCUAAUGUUUUGAUUGAUCGCACCUAUUGAUUGGAACCUAUUUCUUAAUCGCGUUCAAUGCCAGGAACCUACAGGGAAUUCAUACUGUUGAGGAAUCCCCUCCUCUCCCUCCCUCUGUUCAUAAUCUGGGUUUAAAGGACAGAGAAGUAAGUAGCCUCACUGCUGAUGAGAAAUAUAAUAUAGAAAGGGAGAGAGAGCCAAUUGGAACAUUACUUGUGUCUGUGCGGUGGAUAUAAAAAGGACACACUAGUCUGCUUUUUAAGUCGAGCGGCUGUGAAUUGGAGAGCCACAGGAUGUCAAAGGACCAGCUGGACUCGAUGGUGAAUCAUGCUGAGCACUUGCUCUCACAGGCCAUUCAGCUGCACACUCAUUGUCAGGAGGAGAGUGUCCAAUUGGCUGCUCUAGCUCAGCAGCUGAGAAAUGAAGGCCAGAGUCUACAUGAGCAAAGUGCUGUGCUUCAACAGGACAUGGCUGGGAUGUACAAGUCGUUUGAAGCUUUGAUGGACACCAAGGUGGCGUUUGAAGCCAAAGAGAGGCAGGCCCGUAAACUCAGCAAGCAACUUUGAGUCAAGGGGAUUAAAUGGAUGGGAUUAAAUGAUUGCCUGUAUUUAGAGCCAUCAGAAUUCAGUGAAUAGGUAAAUGACAGGAUAAAACAUUUUCAGUUAAAGAUGUAUUCUGUACAAUAAUUUAAACUGAUCUGGUGUUUUCUUUUAAUCCUCUAAUUUCUCCACAACAUUUGUACAAGACAAGUAUAAGCGAACAAAUAUAACUUUCAUUAUUCACAAUUUUGCAAGAAACAAUAAAAUAAACCCUUCACAUACAGUAUAGUUGUUAUAUUUAGAUGUUAAAUGUUACCAAUAUGAAUAGAACCCUUUUGGGGGGGGGGGGGAUUAUAAA